AGCCGCGGCGGGCAGUGCCGCUCGACGCUGCGGCCGGGCCGGGGUUGGGCCUGCUGGACCUCUUGUGCCCUGUAAUGGAAGAAAAGUUUGAAAAUGUCAGAGCACGCUGCUUCCCAGCCCGCCGGCGUUUGUUUGGCACCGCCGUUUUCUCCCCUUUGAACUACUGCUAUGAUCUACAGAGAGAUCUGAGAACUCGUACCAGCAGUCCUUUGAGAUCAAAUCCUGCAUUGAUUUCAAAAUGCAACAGCGAGAGCACUUGAACUUCAGUCCUGUGCUCAGGAUGCUGCAGUUGAAAGUGAAGAAGCAUUGUUUGAGACAGCGUACUUGACAAUAUUCUCAGAAAUCCUUGAUUCUAUCCCACUAUUUCACACCACUGAGAGCAUGAAGACAGUACAUCAUGGAAGUGCAAAUCCUGCACAAGGAAGAUUGUAUUGGUUCAUUAUUUAAAUCUGCAUUUUCCUACAGACUCAACAAGAGCAUGUACUAAGCAAAACCAGUGCAGCCUGCAGGAGCUGAGCAGGACUUAAAAUGAGCUGCCUCUCUCACCAGCCAGAAAUUGGUGUAUUUCAAGCAGAGACAUCCCUCACCCUGCCCCUAAGAAGCAGUGAGGCUGCAAGCACUACAGCAAUACAAAUUCCUAGUUACAAAUUCUGUGAGCACAGAUCAGUUACCCCAAGAGAGAUUUGGCUCUGGUCUCCUUUCUUGGCUCCUCAUCCUGAGGGACCCAGCUACCAUGGUUUCAAAAGCAGGGUUCAGGGCUCAGCUGGCAUCCCUGCUGCUGGGUAGAAAGACAUUGUGCUGUGUAUCACUUAUUUUUUGUACUUUUUUUGUUCUGUUUUGUUUCUGUUUGCUCUAAUUUCAACCCCUUUUCUAUUGAGCUGUCUUUAUCCCCACCCAUGAGUUUUACUUUUGUUUUUGCCUAAUUCUCUCCCUGUCCCCCCGAGUCCCUGCAUGGUAUGGAGCUGCCUGCCAGGUUAAACCACAGCAGAAAUGUACCAGACAGAAAGGUAAACAAAGCUUGCAGAACCAGUGGAAAAUAAAAGAUGAUGAAUUGUGAUAACUACUUUAAAUUCAACACCUCCUAAUGUAGAAUAAGGCAUAUGAUAUUUAAUGCUAUGCACUUCAGUUUUUACUGUUUUAGAAUAGCAAUAGAAAAAAAAGCUGAACACAGGAGAACAUCUUUGAGGCACUGGGCACUGAUAUACUACAGAACAGAGCUAAGGUUGAAAAAUAAAUCCGACCCUUAAUAAAACAGGAAUGUUUUCCAAGCUUUCUUUUCAGCUAUAUUCUUCAUAUUUUUUUCUGAAAUUUAAUCUUAAGUGGUGGUUUAAAAAUGGACAUUUGCAGUGAAAAUAUAAUUUAAUAGUGAAGUACCAGUAACAGUAGUUCACCAGUGACUAUGAAGACAGCUGUGAAAACUUAAUAAAGCCGUAACCCCUCAUAUAUAUUGCUAUUUUAGCACCAUGUGGACUCAAAUGUUUAAUUAAAAUAAUUGCCUAUAUGGUUCUGGAUCGUCUUUUUAUUAUGAAAUGGAGACUUCAUGUGGCCUUCUACCUACUUCUUACUUUAAUUAAGCUGAGCUGUAAAUCUUUUUUUUUUUUUUUUUUUUUUUUUUUCCCCACUGUUAGUUCAAUUUAAGCUCUUCUCUUUCCUCCCUUCCAGAGUAAUUAUCUCCAGUCAGGGCAUCCAUUUUUCAACAGUCUAUUCCUAACUAUGCAGAGAGAGUCCCAUAUAUGUGACUUAGAUUGUUGUACAAGCUAAAUCCUGGAAGAAAGUAUGUUUUCCAAUCUAGUCCUCCCCACAGACCAAAUAGAAUAUGUAUAGAAUAUGUAUUGACUCCUACUUCAAAUGAAAACUGUUCUGUGCUGUGACUACCGUUUACAACAUCAUAUCUUCAAGAUAUAAUGACAAACAAUCCCUUAUGUUGAUACUUAUUUGAUUAUUGCUAUUAAAAUUCAGUGUAUUUGAAUUUGAAUUCAUGUCAGUUCUACUCAUGUCUUGCCCAAGGAGGCUGUGGAUGCCCCAUCCCUGGAGGCAUUCAAGGCCAGGCUGGAUG
ensembl:lncRNA